rnacentral:rRNA from 1 species
AUUGAACGCUGGCGGAAUGCUUUACACAUGCAAGUCGAACGGCAGCACGGGGGCAGCCCUGGUGGCGAGUGGCGAACGGGUGAGUAAUACAUCGGAACGUGCCCGGUCGUGGGGGAUAACGUAGCGAAAGUUACGCUAAUACCGCAUACGAUCUGAGGAUGAAAGCGGGGGACCUUCGGGCCUCGCGCGAUCGGAGCGGCCGAUGUCAGAUUAGGUAGUUGGUGGGGUAAAGGCCUACCAAGCCGACGAUCUGUAGCUGGUCUGAGAGGACGACCAGCCACACUGGGACUGAAACACGGCCCAGACUCCUACGGGAGGCAGCAGUGGGGAAUUUUGGACAAUGGGCGCAAGCCUGAUCCAGCCAUUCCGCGUGCAGGACGAAGGCCUUCGGGUUGUAAACGGCUUUUGUACGGAACGAAAAGGCUCUGGCUAAUACCUGGGGCUCAUGACGGUACCGUAAGAAUAAGCACCGGCUAACUACGUG